CUGCGAACCAGGAUGCGCUCCAGGAGGCCGGCACCUUCAGGCAUACCCUUUGGAAGCGGGUCCAAAGCGCAGUCACUCCUCUGCUGGCCAGCAUGAUCUCUCUCAUCGACAGAGAUGGCAACCUCGAGCUUCUGAUCAGACCAGACUCACCAGCCUGGGCCCAGGACUUGUGGAUGUUUUUCUUUAGUAACACUAAGUUGCUGAACAUUCCACUUGUGAUGAAUAACAUAAGAUCCAAGAGUGAGAUGUCCUCCAUCGU